GUAGGUGGCAAGCGUUGUCCGGAUUAUUGGGCGUAAAGCGCGCGCAGGCGGUUCUUUAAGUCUGAUGUGAAAGCCCACGGCUCAACCGUGGAGGGUCAUUGGAAACUGGAGAACUUGAGUACAGAAGAGGAAAGCGGAAUUCCACGUGUAGCGGUGAAAUGCGUAGAGAUGUGGAGGAACACCAGUGGCGAAGGCGGCUUUCUGGUCUGUAACUGACGCUGAGGCGCGAAAGCGUGGGGAGCAAACAGGGAUUAGAUACCCUGGUAGUCCACGCCGUAAACGAUGAGUGCUAAGUGUUAGGGGGUUUCCGCCCCCUUAGUGCUGCAGCUAACGCAUUAAGCACUCCGCCUGGGGAUACGGCCGCAAGGCUG
rnacentral:rRNA from 1 species